AGCUUUGCGCAGUGGCAGUAUCAUAGCCAAUGAGGUUUAUCUGAGGUGCAAUUAUUGCUAAUUAAAAACUUUUCCCAAUACCCUGCCAUGAUGACUUGAAAUAUAGUUGGCAUUGGCAAUUUUUGACAGUCUCUAGGAGA
ensembl:snRNA U4 U4 spliceosomal RNA